UACAGAGGUCUCAAGCGUUGUUCGGAUUCAUUGGGCGUAAAGGGUGCGUAGGUGGCGGGGUAAGUCAGGUGUGAAAUUUCGGAGCUUAACUCCGAAACUGCAUUUGAUACUACCUUGCUUGAGGACUGGAGAGGAGACUGGAAUUCACGGUGUAGCAGUGAAAUGCGUAGAUAUCGUGAGGAAGACCAGUGGCGAAGGCGGGUCUCUGGACAGUUCCUGACACUGAGGCACGAAGGCCAGGGGAGCAAACGGG
rnacentral:rRNA from 1 species